ensembl:misc_RNA
AAGGACAGCAUAAUGGACUCCCAGAUUACCAAGACCCACCAAGAGGAUCACCCAAGGAACCCUUGGAGGCUGAGGAGUUCACUGAGGCUAGUGCAUCUGGAGACUUCAGGAUGAAGACCCAGCUUGGGGCUGUCAAAG